GUUUUUUCUUCCUAUUUUGCCCCUUCAAAAUUAACCAUAAAUGGCGAUGACCAUUGAAGUGCUUGCGGGGCUUGCCUUCAUGUUCUCGUCCAGCAUUUUGUUACAGAUCCUGGCUUGUGCUUUAUACAGCAAUUGGUGGCCAAUGUUAUCAGCUCUUAUGUACGUUGUGGUUCCCAUGCCAUGCUUAUUCUUUGGUGGUGGAUCCACACAGUUCCUAAUAAGUCGAGAUGGCGGGGGCUGGAUGGAUGCUGCUAAAUUCUUAACAGGGGCAUCAGCUGUGGGAAGCAUUGCCAUUCCCAUUAUUCUCAGACAUGCAGAUCUUAUCCAGACGGGAGCAAUGUUCAUCGAAUUCGUGUCAUUCUUCAUAUUUGUCUGCACAGUCAUGUGUUAUCAUCGCGCCAGUCUUGAUGACGAGUGGUGAUAUAAAAAUCGAGGUAUGGUUCCUCGACUGUAAUUACGUCGUGUGGUUCUAACAAACAAGAGAAAAUGCAAACAAAAGGGAGCUGAAAAGGAAUCAAUGCUAGGAAAUGGAACUAGAAAUUUUAUUCACCAAUGUGUAUAAGUUUGUCAAAUGUCACAUUUAUAAUUUCUUGAUGUGAGAGUUAUUUUCUCUAAGUUUGAAACCUUUUGCUGAUGGA
rnacentral:misc_RNA from 1 species